rnacentral:rRNA from 1 species
AUUGAACGCUGGCGGAAUGCUUUACACAUGCAAGUCGAACGGCAGCACGGGGGCAACCCUGGUGGCGAGUGGCGAACGGGUGAGUAAUACAUCGGAACGUGCCCGGUCGUGGGGGAUAACGUAGCGAAAGUUACGCUAAUACCGCAUACGAUCUGAGGAUGAAAGCGGGGGACCUUCGGGCCUCGCGCGAUCGGAGUGGCCGAUGUCAGAUUAGGUAGUUGGUGGGGUAAAGGCCUACCAAGCCGACGAUCUGUAGCUGGUCUGAGAGGACGACCAGCCACACUGGGACUGAGACACGGCCCAGACUCCUACGGGAGGCAGCAGUGGGGAAUUUUGGACAAUGGGCGCAAGCCUGAUCCAGCCAUUCCGCGUGCAGGACGAAGGCCUUCGGGUUGUAAACUGCUUUUGUAUGGAACGAAAAGGCUCUGGCUAAUACCUGGGGCUCAUGACGGUACCGUAAGAAUAAGCACCGGCUAACUACGUG